UGUCUUCAGGGCGAGGUGCAAUUCCUCACCGGUGGUUAAAGCCCACGAGCAAAAAUUUAUUUGCUGAAUUGGUGUAAUUCCAAUGCCGACGGUUACAGUCCGGAUGAAAGAAGAUA
rnacentral:ncRNA from 1 species